rnacentral:rRNA from 1 species
UUGGAGGGCAAGUCUGGUGCCAGCAGCCGCGGUAAUUCCAGCUCCAAUAGCGUAUAUUAAAGUUGUUGCCGUUAAAAAGCUCGUAGUUGAACCUUGGACCUGGCUGAUCUGUCCUCCUAAUCGAGCGCACGGAUUCGGUCGGGUCUUUCCUUCUGGGGAGCCCUAUGCCCUUCACUGGGUGUAGUGGGGAACCAGGACUUUUACCUUGAAAAAAUUAGAGUGUUCAAAGCAGGCCUUUGCUCGAAUACAUUAGCAUGGAAUAAUAGAAUAGGACAUCGGUUCUAUUUUGUUGGUUUCUAGGACCGCUGUAAUGAUUAAUAGGGAUAGUCGGGGGCGUCAGUAUUCAAUUGUCAGAGGUGAAAUUCUUGGAUUUAUUGAAGACUAACUACUGCGAAAGCAUUCGCCAAGGAUGUUUUCAUUAAUCAGUGAACGAAAGUUAGGGGAUCGAAGACGAUCAGAUACCGUCGUAGUCUUAACCAUAAACUAUGCCGACUAGGGAUCGGACGGUGGUUUUUUUAUGCCCCGUUCGGCGCCUUACGGGAAAC